UGGAGUUUCCAAAGAUGCCACAGUCGUUUCAGAUUGACUCAUCCAAAGAGUCUCUUAAAAAUCAAAGAAGACUCAUGGCAGAAGAAAUUCUCAUGGCAUCAGUUUCAAAGGAUGAGUUCUGCUCCUUCUGUGGAAAUAAGAACCUGCCUGCUGGAGAUGAUGUUUGGAUUCAGUGUGGAAAUUGCACAAGAUGGUUUCACACGCAGUGCCUAGGAAUGACUGCAGCACAAAUACCAAACAAAAAUACCCCUUGGGAUUGUGUGUUGUGUAUCAGCCCUAGCUAAAGAGG